GUGAUGUAAAUAGAUGUUACGGGGAACUGGUAAGUUAAAGAACUUCAUCACCCAGAAUUCCCUAUUCUUGGUUGACGGACAUGCGCAGACUACGUGCGCGGCUGUGCGCACGUAGUCUGCGCAUGUACGCCACUGGAUUCCGGGUUUGUGUUGAACAGGCACAGUAUCACCGCUCCGUAUUUUAAACUGCUAACUACACACCUAUACUUCAUGAACUAUUACUACUAUGUGGAUGUAAGCAAAGUGUUCUCAUUCCCUCUUGGAUGUGUGCAGCCAGUGAGGUACGUUUUGUUUAAGGGCUUGUUAUAUCUGCUCGACGGCACGGACAGCUAACUGGGCUAGAGAGAGGAGCUAGCGAUUGCCGGACGGGCCAGCCAGUCAGCCAGCUUGCUAACUACACACCGAUGGUUACGUCCACAUGUACUCAACGAAGUGGAAACGCUUUUGACGAUGGCCCGUGCAAAGUCAUGCCACCAUCAAUUCAAUUCAAUUCAUUUUAUUUUGUAUAGGCCAAAAUCGCAAAUUACACAUUUGCCUCAGAGGGCUUUACAGUCUGUACACAUGCAAUGGGAAUGGCACAUUGGACACGUGGCUUUCAACUCCAGCGAGGUGGCGGCACGGAUCUCUGCAUGUCUGACUGACAUCUCCCAGUGGAUGUCCGCCCAUCACCUGAAGAUCAACCCCGACAAGACUGAACUACUUUUCUUCCCUGGAAAAAACUCGCCCACUCAGGACCUGACCGUUAACUUUGGCGAACACCGUUAACAUCAGGAGAAUACCACCCCUUCUCACUCAGAAGGCGGCGCAGGUACUGAUUCAGGCUCUUGUCAUCUCUCGCCUCGACUACUGUAACUCUCUGCUGGCAGGUCUCCCUGCUACCGCCAUUCGACCACUGCAGCUCAUCCAGAAUGCAGCAGCUCGACUGGUCUUCAACCUUCUGAAAUACUCCCACACCACACCGCUUCUCCCUUCACUUCAUUGGUUACCAGUGGCUGCCCGCAUCCAGUUCAAAGCAUUGGUACUGACGGACCACGCUGUGAAUGGAUCGGGACCAGUCUACAUCCGGGACAUGGUGAAACCCUGCAUCCCAACCCACGCACUCCGAUCUGCAUCUGGCAAGCUGCUUGUUCCUCCCUCACUGAGAGAAAAGCACUCGACGAGAUGGCGACUCUUUGCUGUCCUGCUCCCAGAUGGUGGAAUGAGCUCUCUGAUGACAUCAGGACCGCAGAGAGCCUCUCCAUCUUCCGUCGAAAACUCAAGACACACCUUUUUAGACUCUACCUUGACCAAAACACUAGCAAACCGUAGCACUAACAAAUGG